rnacentral:lncRNA from 1 species
CUGCUCUGAUGGCUCUAUUGGAUAGAUAGGUGAGAAACACAAAGGCCUGAAAAAAGGAAAAGAAAUUAUUUUCUUCAUACAGGCUGCCAUUCAAGCAGAUACUUUGAAGGACAACAAACAACAUUGGGAUUGAAGUGAUCAAGGAGAGCAGUGGUGUGGGGAAGGUGGCUCUGAAAGCAAGAAGUGACAGAGAAACCCCAUGAAACCCCAUGAACUCACUUCACUGUACUGUGGGACCAGCAAAUCUGAUGUAUGUGCAACUAGUGUGGAAGCCUGACACUGUCAAAAUUUGUUAUCAUGGGCUCUCUGCCAUCACCCCAGCUGGCAAAAAUGGGACACGGUUCCAGUGCAUGAAUGGAAGGUCAGCCAGACGAUGCUCUGCUGUCACACAGGAGGAGUCUUUCAGGGCUGACUUUCCUGGAAGUUGCUAAUGAUGUAUUUUGACCUCUCUGUUUUAGAGAUGCUUUGCAGUCAGUGAUACUCAGGGAGUGGCACUCCUUGAAACUGACACGUGCUUCAUCUGCUUGUGAAAUGUUGCAAGGAAAGAUACCGCCUGUAAAACUUUAUUUGUAGCCUCACUGGAUCAUUAGGAAAAUUCUCUUAAUAAAGGAUGCUCCUGAAUCUUAUUAGUUGCUUCA